rnacentral:rRNA from 1 species
UACGUAGGGUGCGAGCGUUAAUCGGAAUUACUGGGCGUAAAGUGUGCGCAGGCGGCCGAGCAAGUCGAGUGUGAAAGCCCCGAGCUUAACUUGGGAACUGCGCUCGAAACUACUUGGCUAGAGUGUGGCAGAGGGAGGUGGAAUUCCACGUGUAGCGGUGAAAUGCGCAGAUAUCAGGAGGAACACCGAUUGCGAAGGCAGCUCGCUGGGACGUAACUGACGCUGAGACGCGAAAGCGUGGGGAGCAAACAGG